CAGAAAUGUGAAUGUUUUUUUCUGAGAAAAUUUAACAACAAAAAAGAAUGAUGGGCUUCCAAAGACUGCCAAUGAGCAAAGAAUCUACUGGUGGUUCUUGAAAACACAAGAAUAAAAGCAUACAGAAAGAGGACCUUAAGAAAAAAACAAUCCAGCAAGACUUUCAAAAGACAGAAUUAGUGACAUCAUUAGUGGUAUUACUGGAACCCAUCUGCAGCCAGAAUCUACUCCACUCCUCCACCCAACUAGUCACUGUAAGGUGAUCAUCAGGGAGGCAAGAGGAAGCAGAAGGCCCUGUUAUCUGCCAGAGUGAAUGAAGGGCAUGCUGUAAACAGUAUCUAUGUGCCAAAUGCUACCAAAUCUUUCAACAGAUCAUUGA